GAUGAACGCUGGCGGCGUGCCUAAUACAUGCAAGUCGAGCGAACAGACGAGGAUCUUGCUCCUUCCACGUUAGCGGCGGACGUGUGAAUAACACGUAUGUACCCUACCUAUAAUACUGGUAUAACUACGGGAAACCGGAUCUUACACCAUAUAAGAUUUUGAACCGCAUGGUUCGAUAGUGAAAGAUGGCUUUUCUCUCUCUACUAGAUGGUUCUCCGCCGUAUUGGCUAGUUGGUAAGUUAACGGCUUACCAAGGCAACGAUACGUAGCCGACCUGAGAGGGGGAUCGGCCACAUUGGAACUGAGACACGGUCCAGAGUCCUGAGGGAGGCCGCAGUAGGGAAUCUUAGGCAAUGGGGGAGAGCCUGACGGAGCAACGCCGAGUGAGUGAUGAAGGUCUUCGGGUCGUAAAACUCUGUUAUUAGGGAAGAACAACUGUGGACGUAACCGUGGAGGGCUUGACGGUACCUGAUAAGAAAGCAACGGCUAACUACGUG
rnacentral:rRNA from 1 species